GCUAUCUGUGGGAACCCAGAACAAUGACUCACUCCGGUAAGAUGCCUGGGUUCUAUUACCACCCUUGGGGUGUUCUUUGUUGUCAUUCAAGUCAUUGAAUACAAGAAAGAAUUGCCUCUAGCAGUGAAAGGUGACCACGGUUUCUUAUAGCUUCUUGAGAGCCUUUAGAGUUGAGACAUCAUUAGUUGCUUCUGUUUUCUCCAGAGGAAGGUGACUAAUGAGCCUUGAGAACCCAUUAGUUUAUAAGGACCUGCCUUACCAGGCAUCCUUUAUAUAUAAACCAUCGAAGGAGAAAAAAUGGCAAGCAAUCUGUUUCCGGCAAAUCGGCCAUUUGAUGCAAGUUUCACCAAUUAUGCAUGGUCUUUAGGUUCUUUGUUGCAUCACUAGAGCAUUACUAGCAUUAUUUCUUUUACGUAGAGAAAGCAUUAGUUCUUUAGAUUAUGAUUAUAUGUGCUACCAAAGAGAAAUGUGACAGCUUGUUGCCUUGUUCUCAAUUAAAUUUGCUUGUCAGGGAUCUUCUUGAUCCCCAAUAGCAAUAGUUGGUGAUAAUAAUAUGUUAUAUUUUCAGAAAUUUGUGCACGUGCACUUCCAGGGAUGAGUCAAUGAAAGUCUGGAGUUUCUAGAGCAUCGAGGCAUGGUGGGUGAACCAUUACAACCUGCUACUUCCUAAAACACGGUCUUGUGUACAUUGCGCGGGCAUGAUGCUCUAGAGAGGUUAGUAUUUUUGCGUCUUGCGGACUUUCUUUACCUAGCCAUUUUAUAGAGCCUAUAUAAUUGUUAUGUUGGUUUUUUGUGCAGCUAGUUCCCAACCUGGCUCAUGCUGGCCAGGCAGUACAGCAAGGCAUCCUUAUUGGAUGAUGUUGCCAUGGGUAAGCCUUGUCAAUCUUAAGUGAUCGGAUUGCACAUGGUUGUAGGUUGCAAGUGGUGGCUUUAACCUAAAAGUCAAUGCUUGCUGGAGACUAAUCCUGGAUAAUAUAGCUAAUUCUUUCAUGUCUUCGGGACAUUUCAAACGCUAUUUAGUCUGCCAA
rnacentral:lncRNA from 1 species